rnacentral:misc_RNA from 1 species
UCCGAGUUGACCCCGGCAGUCUUCGAUGAGUCCCCGCCAUAACGCGCUGGCAACAUCGAACGAGGGUUGCGCUCGUUGCGGGACUUAACCCAACAUCUCACGACACGAGCUGACGACAACCAUGCACCACCUGUGCACGGCCCUUACGGACCCCGCAUCUCUGCGAGAUUUCCGUGCAUUUCAAGCCCUGGUAAGGUUCUUCGCGUUGCAUCGAAUUAAGCCACAUGCUCCGCCGCUUGUGCGGGCCCCCGUCAAUUCCUUUGAGUUUUAGCCUUGCGGCCGUACUCCCCAGGCGGGACGCUUAAUGCGUUAGCUGCGGCACGGAACUCGUGGAAUGAGUCCCACACCUAGCGCCCAACGUUUACGGCGUGGACUAC